UUCUGUUACAUUUUAUCAGUUCUUUUUGGUAGCUUGUGCUCAAAAUGCUGAACUGGUGACACCCUAUGGAUCAUGAAGUUGCAACCUUGAUGGCAAGCAUAAAGGACUGAGUGGUGAGGAGGAAAAACUACUUUCAAAGUAUGUCUGCUGUUGAAGCAGAAGCUGAAUUCUCAAGUGGUGGAAAUCAGCACAGCUCCAGUCAAAAUGAAUAGACUUUGAUUCACUCCAAGUGCAGAUAUCAAGCAUGGCAUUGACAAAACCCAGACAAGAAGAAGGAAAACCUGAAAUGCUGCACAGCCUCACCUCCUCCAGAACUUGCAAAAGCCCAACCAAAAGGAAGAAAAUCUGUGGUUGGAGAAUGGGGUGAGCAGACAGGAAACAGCUGCUUUCCAUGAGUUGUCACCCCACCAACCCCACAAGGUCCUGAGUCAGUAUUCCCUUUUGUAUGGUCAGCUUUCAUGGCAUUGAAACUUUUGCCACUCCUUCUCAAAGGAGACAGCUGUGGAGACAGUGACCAUUUGGAGGGGCACUUCUGGGCUAGGGACAGACAUUACAC